AUGGCUGAUGUAGAAUCUUAUAUGUUUGAGAUUUGGUGAUCGAGAAUCAGGAUUCUCUGAUCAUGAGUUCCACACAUUAUGGGUAUCGGGGUCAAGAGUCCCACUGGUUAGGACUUUUCGAUCAGGGUUACAUAUCGAUGAAUUCUGAUGCCCGAUUGCCCAUUGAAUUUAGACUCAAUAUUUAUGAGAGGUUUAAUUAGUGAUUUGAUCGCUAAUUAACUCAAUUUGAUUGAGUAAUUAUUUUUGGAUCAAGUCCAAUUGAAUUGGAUUCAGUUGGGUUUGACCCGAUUAGGUUAAGAGUUGACCUAAUCGUCAAGAUGGUUUGGUCCCUG
rnacentral:lncRNA from 1 species